rnacentral:rRNA from 1 species
GGAGGGUGCGAGCGUUAAUCGGAAUUACUGGGCGUAAAGCGCAUGCAGGGCGGUCUGUUAAGCAAGAUGUGAAAGCCCGGGGCUCAACCUCGGAACAGCAUUUUGAACUGGCAGGCUAGAGUCUUGUAGAGGGGGGGUAGAAUUUCAGGUGUAGCGGUGAAAUGCGUAGAGAUCUGAAGGAAUACCGGUGGCGAAGGCGGCCCCCUGGACAAAGACUGACGCUCAGAUGCGAAAGCGUGGGGAGCAAACAGGAUUAGAUACCCUGGUAGUCCACGCCGUAAACGAUGUCUACUUGGAGGUUGUGGCCUUGAGCCGUGGCUUUCGGAGCUAACGCGUUAAGUAGACCGCCUGGGGAGUACGGUCGCAAGAUUA